rnacentral:piRNA from 1 species
GUGCAGCUGACACCCGAGACACUGGU